CUGUCACAACUGGUUAACUUUUAGGCGCGUAGCCGCGUAGGCCUCACAGCACAGAUGUUGAGACAAUCUGCAAUCUGACAUCAGCAUAUUGUUGCAAUUUUGCAAACGUGCAGAGUUUAUGGCGAGCAUUUGGCGAAUAGCCACAUAGGUCCGUUUACGCAACGUUUUUUUGUUUCUCCAUUGCCCUAAUAUAGUAAAUAUAGGUGGGUAUCCCGUUAAUCCUACACGUGGUUGAAGUGCAACAGUCAAUUUAAGGAAGUGUGAAAAUCGUGGAAGAAUUUCCCAUUAGUGAAAUAAGUUCCAGAUUCUUUCAUCUGCAUUGGAUGUUCGCUUUCUUCAUGCUGAGAAAGGAAUGAUUGCUAGAAGAUUUUGUACAGUGACUGUUGGAGUUGCCUUGUGCUUGUGAAGAAUCCAGUGCAGAAGGUCUAGUCAUAAGGUGAAUUAAAACAUAAUUUGUUUUUCCCGUUUACAGUGUUUUGUCGUAUUGUCAUGAAUUGCGUCAACUGGCAAAAAAAUGUUGCUGCUGAAGAAAAGGCUAUACAAUACAGUGAGAAGAAACUAGAAGAACAUAGAUGUUGUUGUCAAAAGGUUGGGAUUAUCAUCAUACAGCCCAAUUUUCACCAUUGUUCCAGCUAAAAAAAUAUCAUGUUCUGUAACAAAUCAUCACAACACGAGCAACAAGAUUUAACUCUUAAAUCUUUGACUAUGACUAACAUGGUAGAAAAAUAUUAGUUGUUCUUGUGAAAACACAUUGUUGUUGAACAAACUGGCAGACAGGAAGAAAUUUACAGUGGUUGAAAAAAUAUUAUUGUGGAGGGCCAAAAGAUGUGGCAAACACAAAUCCUAAUUUUAUGUCGAGUUGCUAGAGAUGCACUUUAGACCACCGUCAAAGUUGAGAGAGAAGACGACGAACCUGUAUUCCUUCUGUCGAUGGAAUCUAAACAAAAUGGAAACUGAGGAAGUUGUGCACAAAUCUUGAUUUGAAGAUGAUGAAGUCACAGUUACACAUAGAAUUUAAACCCAAAGAAGAAGAAGAAGAACUAUCUACUACCGAUAGCGAAAGAAGGUGGGAGCGAAAGUGAAACGGAUAAAGGAUUAAAAAAGGAGAUGCAUGGAAUACAUAUCAUCCAUUAUACCCAAGGUUUAACGCACCAAAUCUGGAAAGAAAUGGUGGCGAAUUUUGUCUCGACGGCCGAUGGAGUUGGCGCUUGUUGUUUGCAACUCGCCUUUUGCGAAGGCUUGGUAACAGUAGAAGCGGAUCAAGAGCUGGAUCCUGGCGAAUCGUCGCCCAUACUUAAGAUGGCCUGGGAUCUUGAAAUGAAAGAGAAAGAAGAAGAAACGGAAAGCUGAAUUCUGUUUUCGUCAUAACUGCGUGAAAAUAACGGUUUUACUCUUGACGAAUCGACACAAGAACCUCUGCCGUCAAAACGAAAUCUUGAAACAUCGUCACAUGUUUCUUGAACGCACAGUAUUAACGUUAUAACGUGUAGUUUUCCCACUUGAAAAGGGUCAGGAAAGUCACACAUUUCGUUCCGAUUACGCAAGAUAGGGAAAACGCCCUGAUUGUCAAAUAGAAAUAGGUUACACCAGAGACUUUGUGAUCGGGAGGGAAACCGUAACUCGUCGCCAUAAAGGAUCUCUAUGCUCAAGCCGAACAGAAGUUUUACGCCCAACGUACUACCCAUCAGCUGAAGAACACCAAUUAUACACCUUUCUAUGGCAUAUUUGCAUAUGAAAUGGAAUCGUGGAUGCUGAUGAUAAACUAUCAUAAACUCCUGGUGAAAGUUGGUUUUACCUAACUGGAAAGAGACUCCAGACUUCGCCAGUGUAGAAAUAGCUGGAUUCCUCAAGUUUAGCAUCAACUCCACAAUUUGGAAUGAUGGUCAUCUCCCUUAUAAUUUUACUUUUACGAACACUAGUGUUCGUGAGAAAAUGCCACUCCGCAGCACCACCGUGGAAGAUUAUCCGACCAAGGCAGCUCUACAGAAUACAGUUCGAAGAACCGGUUGACGAAAAUGGUGGCCCUAGUUUUGCAACGGAUUCAUCGUGGAAUGAAUGAUUAGAAGAACUCCUGCGUUUACCAGGACCUGGUCUGAAAGGUAUAUAAUUUCUAACUUUAUUUUUCAUCUCUAUUCUAUAAAUUAACCGUAGAUUGAAAAUAAUCGAUAUCGAAUUGACCUGUGAUGAACUCGCCCUAAAAAAAUUUGCGCAAAGUAAACCCUCUUAUACAGAAACAAGUUUAGAUUUUGUUAAGGUGAAAAUCCUGAUUGAAAAUCAUUAGCACAUCUAAGGAGGUGAAGUAGUUUUCCGCGACAGGUGCCGUGAAUUUCCCCCGUUUGUCAUUUAUUGGCAUCUUCCAGUUGGGAAGUUAAGUGUCGAAGUGACUCACAAUAAUACGCCCGUUUCAUUUAAUCCUAUCGAAGGGAAGGGAACUCUAACUCAAACACAGAUAACCUGCGCAGUCACAGGCAGGAAAAUAAUUCUUUUCUUCAGAAAAUUGUAAGUUUUUUUUUGUCUGAACCUUCCAUACCCCCAAUCUCAUCAGAUUUAUUCGUAUGUGAUGAUGUGAUGUGUAUCUGAUUAUUCAUUUCUCGUGAGUCGUGAACUCGUGAUGUUGAGCUUCGGAAACAGAGCUCGGAAUCGCCGAUUCGGAAAUCAAUUCAUCCGUUCCGUUCCGUACAGUAAAAUGUGGUAAUCGUGAGGGAAUCUUUUGGCUGUCGGUAGGUGGCUAAAAUGGAUUGUCCCCCAUCCACCAGGUGACGCGAGUGUCUUCGUGAAGACGAAAUAUUUGCCAUAUGUUUCCGAGACGCUGACUGAAAGUGUAUUUCAAAUAGUGUCGAUCUACAUUUUCAGCCAUGAAAUGCAAUCUGUCGUACAAUUUCACUUGGCCAAAUAAUGUGACCACUUGGGUCGAAACCAUGUCGAAACUGCUGUACAUUUUGCCGAAAUUUCGGCCAUUGUUUUUAGCUGUACCCUAUUCGGCUCUACGUCUCAUUUCGUGCAGAAACACUUCAGAGCUAGUUGAUGUUUUGGUCAGAGACAGAGAUCCCUUUGCUCAACUGUUGCAGAAAUUGAGAACACAACAAAGUCUGAGCUUCAUGGCUGUCAUAUCAUUAACAUGGUUUUGUUGCAGCCAGCUGGUGAAAGGUAUGAUGGAGUUAAGUUGAGCUGCAGCUGCUGCAUCCAGUUUAUCGAGCUGGUGUUAUCCCAAAGUGUCCCAAGACUUUGAAUUGGUAAUUAGAUUGAUGUUAUUGGUUGUUGUAACUUGGGAAGUCUUGUGUUUUCUUUUUUUUUUUUUUUUUUUUUAAAUUUUGUAUUCAACUGACAAGUUUAACUUGAUGUGGUGUAGAAAAUUAGGGUUAAUAUUUCCUCCUUCCAAAUAAUUGUUUCUGUUCAAAGAUAGCCACAUUGUUGGUCUGCUUCCAACAAUUUUUUUUUUCAAUUUUCUUCCAAUCAAACAAGAACCAAAAUUCCCACUUAGUAUUACCAAAUUUUUAUAACAUAUUGGAAGUAGAUGUACAAAAUUCUUUCCUGGUUUCUUUUUCAAUUUCAAUUUAUUAAUUAAUUUUAAAUUAAGUAAAUGUUAUUAUCGGCACCCUUUCUUCACAGUUCAAAAUGUUAUUGGUUUAUUAGUUUUCUUUUGCUUUGUAGUAGUUCAUGGUCGGUUUGAUGUUUAUGGUGUUGCUGUUUGGUGUACAGUGGUUUUGCAGCCCCUUUCCAAUUGAGAGAUGCUCUGAAAUGGAGCUUGUGUAGACUUGCAGUUCAACAUCACACUUAAAUGUCUCAUUUGUCUAUGUUGGUGUCCAUGCACUAUAUGCAGUGUUGAACUGUUGGGUAAAAUAGUCAAUGUUGCCUAAUGGUGAUGGCUGUGGCCGGUCUUAUUUUAUCGGUUGCAUUUUGUCGAUAUAUCGUCUCUUGGUACCGGCGUUGAGUUUCAUCGUUUGCUGCCGUUCCAUAGACUUGAUCCAUUGGUAAAACUGAAGAGAGGUUGCUGAAAUUCAAGACUCGUCAAUAAUUUAUGAAGAUGUAGAAAAAUUACAAGUGCAUAUCUGAGCUCCCUUCUUCAGUGGCCCCGUUUCCCUAAAUAACCACUAACCAACGCCCGCCGGUGGUCACUCACUCGCUGCGACAACCAGGAGGAAGGGAGAUGUUUGGUCGAACGGGGACUUGCAAGGCGCAUGAUUCGAUGAAAUCUGUUGGAGGGUCAUGAAUCUAAGCCGGAAGCCUACUAUGAUACACUGUUCUCAUAAUAACUGCUCCUCAGCUCUCUUCGCUCUUUUUCCGGUUUCUCCUAACCAAUGUCCGGGUAAUCUCCCUGGUCGAGUCAGUCGGGCAGUGUCUCCCCCUGCUUGACUGGCAGCAGAUUGACCCGGACGUUCUGUUUAAUAAACUUUUAAAAUUAUUUUAUGUGUUUGUUAAUAAAUAAAUAUUUCAUUAAAACGAA